GAACUUAAGCAUAUCAAUAAGCGGAGGAAAAGAAACCAACAGGGAUUGCCUCAGUAACGGCGAGUGAAGCGGCAACAGCUCAAAUUUGAAAUCUGGCUCUUUCAGGGUCCGAGUUGUAAUUUGUAGAGGAUGUUUCGGGUGUGGCUCCGGUCUAAGUUCCUUGGAACAGGACGUCAUAGAGGGUGAGAAUCCCGUAUGUGACUGGUAGCCUAUGCUCAUGUGAAACUCCUUCGACGAGUCGAGUUGUUUGGGAAUGCAGCUCAAAAUGGGUGGUAAAUUUCAUCUAAAGCUAAAUAUUGGCCAGAGACCGAUAGCGCACAAGUAGAGUGAUCGAAAGAUGAAAAGCACUUUGGAAAGAGAGUUAAACAGUACGUGAAAUUGUUGAAAGGGAAGCGCUUGCAACCAGACUUGCAUGUAGCUGAUCAACCGGUGUUCUCACCGGUGCACUCAGUUACGUUCAGGCCAGCAUCGGUUUUGACGGUUGGAUAAAGGCCUUGGGAAUGUAGCUUCUUUCGGGGAGUGUUAUAGCCCAGGGUGCAAUGCAGCCUGUUGGGACCGAGGACCGCGCUUCGGCUAGGAUGCUGGCGUAAUGGUUGUAAGCGACCCGUCUUGAAACACGGACCAAGGAGUCUAACAUCUAUGCGAGUGUUUGGGUGUCAAACCCAUACGCGUAAUGAAAGUGAACGGAGGUGAGGACCCUUAAGGGUGCAUCAUCGACCGAUCCUGAUGUCUUCGGAUGGAUUUGAGUAAGAGCAUAGCUGUUGGGACCCGAAA
rnacentral:rRNA from 1 species